CGUUUUCACAAUGGGUGUUCGCAAAAGUCGAGGAAAAGAGGCUAUUACAAAUGUUACCUUCUGGUAAUCAGUUCCUGGGCUAAUCAAGGAUGGAUUCAAGUUCACAUUUCAGAAAAUUCGUCCAGGGUACUCCAGUGUGAAGUGAUUAGCUCUGGACACUUUAGUGUACAAAUAUAUCAGACGUUUUACUUUUAAAUAAAUAUUUUUACAACAAUGAAA